rnacentral:rRNA from 1 species
GACGAGGGGUCCAAGCGUUGUUCGGAAUCAUUGGGCGUAAAGCGGGUGUAGGCGGCUCUAUAAGUCAGAAGUGAAAGCCCCGAGCUUAACUUGGGAAGUGCUUUUGAUACUGCAGAGCUUGAAUGUGGGAGAGGGUAGUGGAAUUCCUGGUGUAGUGGUGAAAUUCGUAGAUAUUCGGAAGAACACCAGUGGCGAAGGCGGCUCACUGGACCGGUAUUGACGCUGAGGUGCGAAAGCGUGGGGAGCAAACAGG